rnacentral:lncRNA from 1 species
CACCGGCUCUGCACGUUGUUGGCGCACAACAAAACUCGCGUGGUGGCGGUUGUUCCAUGCUCGAUCAGACGUGGAGUAAUGCUUUCUUCUUCUUAACGUUCCGCGACACUGCAUUUGUUUACGUUCCUUUGCUGUCUGAUUUUCUGUCUGUGAGUGUCUGACGGUGAUAACGAAAGAACUCCACGAAAAUGAGUCAUUUGCAGGAGUUCUCUGUUCAUAUAUCCGUUUUUUUGUGCGGUUUGUUGGAAAGUAGAUACGUUCCGUUACUAUAGAGAAGAUGUGAGCCGAAAGAUGAUGGAUUGGGGCAUUAGACCGAGAAGUUUUGAAUUAACUUUUAUACCGUGGUGUUCCCAGCUCUUGCACGUCACUGUCGCCGUAGCAUACCCAUAACAGAAACAAGAACCAUUAUUAUGUACAAUGGGUAUUCACUUAUUCACCUACAGCCUAUUUUGGAGUACCAUAGGUCAGGGAUUCAGCUGUGUAUGAAGUAUACGAUGAUCUUCAAGAGUUAGAGAUAAGUGUCAAAAAAGCAAAAAA